UACGUAGGUGGCAAGCGUUGUCCGGAUUUAUUGGGUUUAAAGGGUGCGUAGGCGGCCUAUUAAGUCAGUGCUGAAAUAUCACGGCUCAACCGUGAGGGUGGCAUUGAUACUGAUGGGCUUGAGUGAAGUCGAGGUAGGCGGAAUUGACGGUGUAGCGGUGAAAUGCUUAGAUAUCGUCAAGAACACCGAUAGUGAAGACAGCUUACUAGGCUUAAACUGACGCUGAGGCACGAAAGUGUGGGGAUCAAACAGGAUUAGAAACCCCUGUAGUCC
rnacentral:rRNA from 1 species